AGUCGAGCGGACAGAAGGGAGCUUGCUCCCGGAUGUUAGCGGCGGACGGGUGAGUAACACGUGGGUAACCUGCCUGUAAGACUGGGAUAACUCCGGGAAACCGGAGCUAAUACCGGAUAGUUCCUUGAACCGCAUGGUUCAAGGAUGAAAGACGGUUUCGGCUGUCACUUACAGAUGGACCCGCGGCGCAUUAGCUAGUUGGUGAGGUAACGGCUCACCAAGGCGACGAUGCGUAGCCGACCUGAGAGGGUGAUCGGCCACACUGGGACUGAGACACGGCCCAGACUCCUACGGGAGGCAGCAGUAGGGAAUCUUCCGCAAUGGACGAAAGUCUGACGGAGCAACGCCGCGUGAGUGAUGAAGGUUUUCGGAUCGUAAAGCUCUGUUGUUAGGGAAGAACAAGUGCAAGAGUAACUGCUUGCACCUUGACGGUACCUAACCAGAAAGCCACGGCUAACUACGUGCCAGCAGCCGCGGUAAUACGUAGGUGGCAAGCGUUGUCCGGAAUUAUUGGGCGUAAAGGGCUCGCAGGCGGUUUCUUAAGUCUGAUGUGAAAGCCCCCGGCUCAACCGGGGAGGGUCAUUGGAAACUGGGAAACUUGAGUGCAGAAGAGGAGAGUGGAAUUCCACGUGUAGCGGUGAAAUGCGUAGAGAUGUGGAGGAACACCAGUGGCGAAGGCGACUCUCUGGUCUGUAACUGACGCUGAGGAGCGAAAGCGUGGGGAGCGAACAGGAUUAGAUACCCUGGUAGUCCACGCCGUAAACGAUGAGUGCUAAGUGUUAGGGGGUUUCCGCCCCUUAGUGCUGCAGCUAACGCAUUAAGCACUCCGCCUGGGGAGUACGGUCGCAAGACUGAAACUCAAAGGAAUUGACGGGGGCCCGCACAAGCGGUGGAGCAUGU
rnacentral:rRNA from 1 species